rnacentral:rRNA from 1 species
UACGUAGGGUGCGAGCGUUAAUCGGAAUUACUGGGCGUAAAGCGUGCGCAGGCGGUUUUGUAAGCCAGAUGUGAAAGCCCCGGGCUUAACCUGGGAAUGGCAUUUGGGACUGCAAGGCUUGAGUGCGGCAGAGGAGACUGGAAUCCUGGUGUAGCAGUGAAAUGCGUAGAUAUCAGGAGGAAUACCGAUGGCGAAGGCAGGUCUCUGGGCUGACACUGACGCUCAUGCACGAAAGCGUGGGAGCAACAGG